rnacentral:rRNA from 1 species
UACGUAGGAGGCGAGCGUUGUCCGGAGUUACUGGGCGUAAAGCGCACGCAGGCGGUCUUGUCAGUCUCAGGUGACAGUCCCCGGCUUAACUGGGGAAGUGCGUCUGAUACUGGAUGGCUUGAGGUUGGGAGAGGGAUGCGGAAUUCCAGGUGUAGCGGUGAAAUGCGUAGAUAUCUGGAGGAACACCGGUGGCGAAGGCGGCAUCCUGGACCAAUUCUGACGCUGAGGAGCGAAAGCCAGGGGAGCAAACGGG